AAGGGCACCACAAGAACGCGUGGAGCAUGUGGCUUAAUUUGACUCAACGCGGGAAAUCUUACCGGGUCCGGACACACUGAGGAUUGACAGGCGAUAUAACGAAUCUUAUUUCUUAAUAAGAUAUUCGCUAUUUAAAUAUGCUAGUCCUUUCAUGAUUAUGUGUAGGUGGUGCAUGGCCGUUCUUAGUUCGUGGAGUGAUCUGUCUGCUUAAUUGCGUUUCACUAAGGUCCCAUAUACUAAAGGCAUGUCGACCUCUCUUUAGGAUUAAUUAAGGCUUGGACCCCUCUUUUAUUAAGAGCGAGUGUCUAAUGUCUUAUUAUCCUUUAUAUAAGAUAGUGUCGUAUGCUGUUGGGAUCUGAAAGCAACGAACGUGACCGCAACGUCUUGUUGCCUUACCUAUACUGGUAUUAUACUUAAUACCGUAUAACUCAAGGCUUUACUUAUAAAACUAGACGGACCGCUGUUUCUUUUCCUUAAACCAGAGGAAGGUUGCGGCAAUAACAGGUCUGUGAUGCCCUUAGAUGUUCCGGGCUGCACACGUGCUACAAUGAUCAGUACAGUGAGCAUCUCAAUUUAUCUUUAUAUAGAAUUCAUUCUAUAUAAGAACCGUAUUUUCAAGCAUCUGUCGUUAUUACAAUGAUCAGUAUGCGCGGUAACGCCUGUUUCGAGAGUAAAUGGGUAAUCCAUUGGAAGUAAUGAUUUCUCUAUUUUAUAAUAAAAUGCACGGUUUAUAUACGGCAUUCAUUCCCGAGGCGCCUUUGUAGUGUCUAUGUGCGAAUGUAAUGUAUGGCUUUGUUAUUAACGGCUAUUCCUUAAUAGAUUUGUUAUUAACGGCUAUAGUUAUCGUAUG
rnacentral:rRNA from 1 species